rnacentral:rRNA from 1 species
GCUCAGGCUUACACAUGCAAGUCGAGGGGCAGCAUGGUCUUAGCUUGCUAAGGCCGAUGGCGACCGGCGCACGGGUGAGUAACACGUAUCCAACCUGCCGUCUACUCUUGGACAGCCUUCUGAAAGGAAGAUUAAUACAAGAUGGCAUCAUGAGUCCGCAUGUUCACAUGAUUAAAGGUAUUCCGGUAGACGAUGGGGAUGCGUUCCAUUAGAUAGUAGGCGGGGUAACGGCCCACCUAGUCUUCGAUGGAUAGGGGUUCUGAGAGGAAGGUCCCCCACAUUGGAACUGAGACACGGUCCAAACUCCUACGGGAGGCAGCAGUGAGGAAUAUUGGUCAAUGGGCGAGAGCCUGAACCAGCCAAGUAGCGUGAAGGAUGACUGCCCUAUGGGUUGUAAACUUCUUUUAUAAAGGAAUAAAGUCGGGUAUGGAUACCCGUUUGCAUGUACUUUAUGAAUAAGGAUCGGCUAACUCCGUGCCAGCAGCCGCGGUAAUACGGAGGAUCCGAGCGUUAUCCGGAUUUAUUGGGUUUAAAGGGAGCGUAGAUGGAUGUUUAAGUCAGUUGUGAAAGUUUGCGGCUCAACCGUAAAAUUGCAGUUGAUACUGGAUAUCUUGAGUGCAGUUGAGGCAGGCGGAAUUCGUGGUGUAGCGGUGAAAUGCUUAGAUAUCACGAAGAACUCCGAUUGCGAAGGCAGCCU